rnacentral:rRNA from 1 species
GGCUGGCGGCGUGCCUAAUACAUGCAAGUCGAACGAACUCUUGCUUGCAUCAUGAUUUACAUUUGAGUGAGUGGCGAACUGGUGAGUAACACGUGGGAAACCUGCCCAGAAGCGGGGGAUAACACCUGGAAACAGAUGCUAAUACCGCAUAACAACUUGGACCGCAUGGUCCGAGCUUGAAAGAUGGCUUCGGCUAUCACUUUUGGAUGGUCCCGCGGCGUAUUAGCUAGAUGGUGGGGUAACGGCUCACCAUGGCAAUGAUACGUAGCCGACCUGAGAGGGUAAUCGGCCACAUUGGGACUGAGACACGGCCCAAACUCCUACGGGAGGCAGCAGUAGGGAAUCUUCCACAAUGGACGAAAGUCUGAUGGAGCAACGCCGCGUGAGUGAAGAAGGGUUUCGGCUCGUAAAACUCUGUUGUUAAAGAAGAACAUAUCUGAGAGUAACUGUUCAGGUAUUGACGGUAUUUAACCAGAAAGCCACGGCUAACUACGUGCCAGCAGCCGCGGUAAUACGUAGGUGGCAAGCGUUGUCCGGAUUUAUUGGGCGUAAAGCGAGCGCAGGCGGUUUUUUAAGUCUGAUGUGAAAGCCUUCGGCUCAACCGAAGAAGUGCAUCGGAAACUGGGAAACUUGAGUGCAGAAGAGGACAGUGGAACUCCAUGUGUAGCGGUGAAAUGCGUAGAUAUAUGGAAGAACACCAGUGGCGAAGGCGGCUGUCUGGUCUGUAACUGACGCUGAGGCUCGAAAGUAUGGGUAGCAAACAGGAUUAGAUACCCUGGUAGUCCAUACCGUAAACGAUGAAUGCUAAGUGUUGGAGGGUUUCCGCCCUUCAGUGCUGCAGCUAACGCAUUAAGCAUUCCGCCUGGGGAGUACGGCCGCAAGGCUGAAACUCAAAGGAAUUGACGGGGGCCCGCACAAGCGGUGGAGCAUGUGGUUUAAUUCGAAGCUACGCGAAGAACCUUACCAGGUCUUGACAUACUAUGCAAAUCUAAGAGAUUAGACGUUCCCUUCGGGGACAUGGAUACAGGUGGUGCAUGGUUGUCGUCAGCUCGUGUCGUGAGAUGUUGGGUUAAGUCCCGCAACGAGCGCAACCCUUAUUAUCAGUUGCCAGCAUUAAGUUGGGCACUCUGGUGAGACUGCCGGUGACAAACCGGAGGAAGGUGGGGAUGACGUCAAAUCAUCAUGCCCCUUAUGACCUGGGCUACACACGUGCUACAAUGGAUGGUACAACGAGUUGCGAACUCGCGAGAGUAAGCUAAUCUCUUAAAGCCAUUCUCAGUUCGGAUUGUAGGCUGCAACUCGCCUACAUGAAGUCGGAAUCGCUAGUAAUCGCGGAUCAGCAUGCCGCGGUGAAACACCGCCCGUCACACCAUGAGAGUUUGUAACACCCAAAGUCGGUGGGGUAACCUUUUAGGAACCAGCCGCCUAAGGUGGGACAGAUGAUUAGGGUGUG